UACGUAGGGUCCGAGCGUUGUCCGGAAUUAUUGGGCGUAAAGGGCUCGUAGGCGGUCUGUUGCGUCGGGAGUGAAAACUUACAGCUUAACUGUGAGCGUGCUUUCGAUACGGGCAGACUUGAGGCAUUCAGGGGAGAACGGAAUUCCUGGUGUAGCGGUGAAAUGCGCAGAUAUCAGGAGGAACACCGGUGGCGAAGGCGGCAUCCUGGACCGACACUGACGCUGAGGCGCGAAAGCUAGGGUAGCAAACGGG
rnacentral:rRNA from 1 species